AGAGACAGCGCCGCCGGCCGUGGGGAGCGGACGCAGUGAUUUGCUCCCCCUCGUGCAGCAACCCCCACACCCAGCACCAGGCCCCCAGAACUCUCCUUCCAGCUGAACUCCCUGGGAACAAGUCAGUUGGGCUGAUCACUGAACUCACAUUUCUGGACCUGAGGAGCCUGUUCCUCUCACGCCCUCACCUGGCUGAGCCGCAGUAGUUCUUCAGUGGCAAGCUUUAUGUCCUGACCCAGCUAAAGCUGCCAGUUGAAGAACUGUUGCCCUCUGCCCCUGGCUUCGAGGAGGAGGAGGAGCUGCUUUCCCCAUCAUCUGGAAGGUGACAGAAAUGGGCUGGGAAGGUCCGGACAGCAGGGUGGAUGAUAACAUUUUGGGCAAGUUGGAGAGCCUUUGCCCAGAUUGGCCCGGCAAGGAGCGGUUUUAGAUUAGAGACACUGGCUGGAUUGAGGAGUAGAAGGCUCAAACAACCCAAGCGGCUACAGGAAGCUGUGUCUGUUCGAUUUGGUGGGAGGAGAUGUGCAGGGAGCUGUAUCUUGUCCUCCGCUUGUGAAAA
rnacentral:lncRNA from 1 species